CUUUAUGUGAGUAAGAUCCCUGGAAGAUGACCAGGUAGAUAGGUCAGAGGUGGAAGCAUGGCGACAUGUGGAGCUGACUGAUACUAAUCGAUCGAGGACUUAACCAC
rnacentral:ncRNA from 1 species